UACGUAGGUGGCAAGCGUUGUCCGGAUUUACUGGGCGUAAAGAGCGCGCAGGCGGUCGCUCAAGUCGCGUGUGAAAGCCCCCGGCUCAACUGGGGAGGGUCACGCGAUACUGAUCGACUGGAAGGCAGGAGAGGGUAGUGGAAUUCCCGGUGUAGUGGUGAAAUGCGUAGAUAUCUGGAGGAACACCGGUGGCGAAGGCGGCUUCCUGGACCGACACUGACGCUGAGGCGCGAAAGCUAGGGGAGCAAACGGG
rnacentral:rRNA from 1 species